rnacentral:rRNA from 1 species
CUCUUACGGUACCGUCAUGGUGCACCGCCGUGUUAAGGNAGUACCAUUUUCGUUCCGUACAAAAGCAGUCUAUACAACCCUGAAGGCCUUCUUGCUGCACAGCGGNAUUGCUAGGAUCANGAGCUUUGCGCCCAUUAGUCCAAAAUUCCCCACUGCUGCCUCCCGUAGGA